GAUGAACGCUGGCGGCGUGCCUAAUACAUGCAAGUCGAGCGAACGGACGAGAAGCUUGCUUCUCUGAUGUUAGCGGCGGAAGGGUGAGUAACACGUGGAUAACCUACCUAUAAGACUGGGAUAAAUUCGGGAAACCGGAGCUAAUACCGGAUAAUAUUUUGAACCGCAUGGUUCAAAAGUGAAAGACGGUCUUGCUGUCACUUAUAGAUGGAUCCGCGCUGCAUUAGCUAGUUGGUAAGGUAACGGCUUACCAAGGCAACGAUGCAUAGCCGACCUGAGAGGGUGAUCGGCCACACUGGAACUGAGACACGGUCCAGACUCCUACGGGAGGCAGCAGUAGGGAAUCUUCCGCAAUGGGCGAAAGCCUGACGGAGCAACGCCGCGUGAGUGAUGAAGGUCUUCGGAUCGUAAAACUCUGUUAUUAGGGAAGAACAUAUGUGUAAGUAACUGUGCACAUCUUGACGGUACCUAAUCAGAAAGCCACGGCUAACUACGUG
rnacentral:rRNA from 1 species